CAUCUAGUUCUACGUAUGUGUGUGUUUGUUUUAAUUGUAUUGCCGAUGAAUUCGGUAGACAUGCUCCGCCCGCAAACAUGUACCACAUGAUGCAGUUCACUGAAUGUAGCAGUUAAUCACUCGUAAAAAGCGGUCAUGUUUUCGUAUAGUGUAGGUAUGCAUCUAUGUAAGCAUGUGUUCACACUCAUGAGCGAUCCACACAUGAUAUUGCAUUUCCUGUUCAGUUAUAUUUUUAGCACUGGAACACGAUGCUCAUACACUGUGUUGUUAUCUUUCUUUUUUCGCCUGCUCCUUCCUCCAACUUGUGUCUUUGAGUAUUUCAGUCACAUGCUCAAACGUUCUUAAAUGCUCUCGCCAUCGGUUUACGGAUGCGUUGAAAACGGACAUGUGAUGACCAAAUUUAACAAUAUGCGGACAAUGGAUCGACUUCUUGAAGCCUGUGGACGUGAUACACCUUCUCCAUCACCAUCAAGAGAUCAACAUUUUCGAAGGCACUUGCGUACGGCUGCAGUGUCCGGCGCAAUGCUGAAUGCGACCUGUUAUCUGUUGGAUCUACUCUGUGAGCCCGAACCCCAGUGCAAUGGCACUGUUCGACUAUAGCGCUGGACGUCGUCUACUUUUUGCUAGAGGGAAAGGUCAUCAUCCGUCCAUGAACUUCGGGCUGCUCACAGCUAUAUUGCCUUGGCAAGUUCUUUGAGCACUCAAUACUGGACUUGGGCUGCGAAAGCUAAUGACAAUUUGGGGAGCUUGAUAUUGCAAUGGCUAUGACGUGAAGGCUCAAUAUGACGAACAGCUCGACUAUUCACCAUUGUCAACGCUUAUGAUAGCUAAAUAUCAUUGUGCUUGGUGUACAUUCACGUCUCGUUUCCUUGCUCCAUUUGUACCUCACCGGUCGUCCGUCCCCACAGGCCUCGGCUGCAGCACAAGCCACAUUCAUCGGCCCAAUCAUCAGUUAUUCAUCCUGCAAGUUUUAAGUCACUUCGUUGUGACCCGGACAUCGUCAUCUUUCAACGAGUUCAAAUGAUUAUUUCAUUCAUCAUCGUCGAUCAGACUCAUCAUGUAAAGACACUUCCAUAAUGCUAGCCGCCAUCUACGUUUGUGCAGGAAGCAAAUAUCAGGUUGUUAUUAGCUGCGGGCUACUCAGUACCGACUGAACUACUGGCAGUAGUGUGCGAGCACCUAAUACUUGUAUUGUGAUACCAAAGCUAAAACGGAUGAUAGCUUAGCGCAUAGGGCCCUACCGCUUUCCACACACACACACACAAACAAAACUUGACUUUGGGCAUUAGCACCAUGGCAGGAUAAACAGGCAGUUUCGCUGUUUUUCACUGCUUUCAUUGGCAGGUGUUACUGCUCAUUCCCGUUUUAUGUGAUGUUAGAACAGCCCUUCACCAUAGUCCUGUUUUCUCCUUUGCCGUUUUCCAUAGACAUCAGAUGCGACAUGCACUCCAACGAUCGGUCAGGCGCAUCACCGUCAAUCCGGUCGCCUGUUAAGCAGUUCGUAAUCAUCGUCAGUCUUCGACAUCUGUCAACACACUUAUCCACAUUAUCGCCUUACUUUUUAUCUUAUCAAUAUGCAAGAAUGAGUGCAAAAUGCAUUCCAAUAUUGCAUCAGUUGAUGUUGUAUCGCAAUGACACCGCGUCCUCACCUCACAUCUGUUGUGCAUACUUGAUCACGAAUGCCAGUUAUACGCAGAUUCACAUGGUGAAGUUUUACUCCGUUGACGUUUUCUUUCCAUUCUUGUAGUCGAUCAAGAGGGAUUACAGUUGCACAUGCGGCCUUACACAUGCGUCCUUACAUGUUAGCUGAUUGAUAUGUUGGACACACUGGUUCCUGUGACUCCAAGUAGUUCUGCAUUGGUAUUGCUUCACUUUAUAUGUUCUACCCAAAGAUCGUUUCUAGUUUUGUCUUAGCUUGCAGCUGUAUGCCAUGAACAUACAGGGUACUGCGCAUCUUUAUCGUGACAUUCCUGUAGUUUCGUCACUUUCGCGGAUGAUUAGGACCAUGAGCUCAGUUGCAGAUGCGUCCAGCAGCCACCGACAUUUCUACACUUUAAAUUCCUAGUCUCGGAUCUUAUCCACAUGCCAACAUGAUUUGAACAUUUCACACGUUUAGUGAUGAAAUGAGCAGGUAUCAUCUACUACAUUAUAUUUUCAUGUAAAGCACACUCCAGUCUGUGAAAAAAGAAAACCAUUAGGAGCAACAAUCAUGCCUUAGACAGUAUAGUUGCCAUAGAUAUUACGUUGUGCAGCGGGCAGGCCGGUGCACGAAAUGGCGAGUGUGAAUGCAGGAAUGCGUGUGAAAAACUGCCUUGGUGUGGAGUGGCUGGUUUGUCUUCCGUUACAUCGUAACGGGCUCUUGACGUAGUCUUUUUUUAGUAACACCAAUCAUCUUUCGAACUUGAAUUAACGUAAUUGAAAGAUGGCUAUCACAUUUGGAGCCAACUUUUUUGCUA
rnacentral:lncRNA from 1 species